GCAACACCUGGAAGACCGAUGGACAUUUGAAAGUGUGGAGCAACCUAUCUGAGAACAACCUAUCUUAACUUGGUGAAGCUGAUAGAAUGCUUGACAUGGGCUUUGAACACCAAUAAGGAAAAUCAUGAAUCAAAUAAGACCUGAUAGGCAAGCAUUAAUGUAGAGUGCAAUCUGGCCAAAAGAAGUAAGACAGCUUGAUGACGAUUUCCUGAUAGACUAUAUUCAUAUCAAUAUUGGUGCACUAGAACUGAGCACAAAACAUAACAAAGACUGUGGAUAUAUGCCAUGAUGUAGAAAAGGGUGAAAUAAGUUUUCAUCGAAUGAUCAUGCAUGAGGAGAAUAAAACCAUUGUGGUUUUUUUGUUGUUGUUGUUUGCUUGCUUUUUAAUGAAAAGAAAAUUCGAUGAACUUACCAGAAAAUUGAGGAGGAAUGGGUGCCCUACCAUGGGCAUCUAUAUUGACAAAAACCAACAGGAGCAUGGCUAGGUUCUAAAUAAAUUCAAACAUGGAAAAGCUCCUAUUCUGAUUGCAAUCCAUAUGGCCUCAAGAGGUAUCGAUGUGGAGGAUGUGAAAUUUGUCAUCAAUUAUAACUACUCUACUUCCUCAGGGGGUUAUAUUCAUCAUAUUGGAAGACAUGCUCACACUACCAACCAGGCACAGCACAUGUGAGUGACCUUAUCACUGUGCUUCAGGAAGUUAAUCAAGCUAUUAAUCCCAAGCUGCUUCAAUUGGUUGAAGACAGAGGCGUAGGUUGUUCCAGAGGUAGAGUAGGCAUGUUUCUCUUGACAGAAACUCAUCUUUAGAGACAGGGAAAACUCUGACAGAGAUUAUUCUAGUCUGCUUCACAGAGAUUUGUGACUAAAACUCAGAAUGGUGUUUAUAGUGAUGUAAAUUAUACUAGCGGGAGUGUUGGAAGUAAUUUUCGAUCUGCUGCUAUUCAGACCAGUUUUAGGACUGGUAACCCAACAGGGACUUAGCAGAAGUUAUGAUAGCACUUGGCAAUAUGGAAGCAAUGCUGCAAAUUUGCACAAAGAUCUGUACCAACAGGCAUAUGCAUAUGUGCACAAAGAUAUGCACCAACAGGCAUAUGCAUAGUCUGCUUCUGCAGCUCCUGUGCCUAUGAUUGACUAUCUACAGCCACAAGAUAUU
rnacentral:lncRNA from 1 species